UUUCUUGGUCAAUUAGAGGAAGUAAAAGUCGUAACAAGGUCUCCGUUGGUGAACCAGCGGAGGGAUCAUUACAGAGUUGCAAAACUCCCUAAACCAUUGUGAACGUUACCUAUACCGUUGCUUCGGCGGGCGGCCCCGGGGUUUACCCCCCGGGCGCCCCUGGGCCCCACCGCGGGCGCCCGCCGGAGGUCACCAAACUCUUGAUAAUUUAUGGCCUCUCUGAGUCUUCUGUACUGAAUAAGUCAAAACUUUCAACAACGGAUCUCUUGGUUCUGGCAUCGAUGAAGAACGCAGCGAAAUGCGAUAAGUAAUGUGAAUUGCAGAAUUCAGUGAAUCAUCGAAUCUUUGAACGCACAUUGCGCCCGCCAGCAUUCUGGCGGGCAUGCCUGUUCGAGCGUCAUUUCAACCAUCAAGCCCCCGGGCUUGUGUUGGGGACCUGCGGCUGCCGCAGGCCCUGAAAAGCAGUGGCGGGCUCGCUGUCGCACCGAGCGUAGUAGCAUACAUCUCGCUCUGGUCGCGCCGCGGGUUCCGGCCGUUAAACCACCUUUUAACCCAAGGUUGACCUCGGAUCAGGUAGGAAGACCCGCUGAACUUAAGCAUAUCAAUAAGCCGGAGGAAA
rnacentral:rRNA from 1 species